rnacentral:lncRNA from 1 species
GGGCUCCUCAGAGCAGAGACAGGAGGCCCGAACCCUGGGGCCAAGGGCGGCGUGGCUGCAGGCUCUGGUUCCCCCACAGCACUCGGGGGUCCAGUCCAGCCCUGGCCCUGCCCUGCUGCCCUCUGGGCCUUGCUCUUCUGAGCUGGAAGACGAGGCGGGGAGAGGAUUCAGGUCGCCAGCUCUGCGAAAUGCUUAGCAGGUAGUAAGCACUCGAUGGACAGGCGAUUAAAAGCCAGAGCUUGGAAAUGGCAAAGGUUAUUAGCAAGCACACAGCAGCUGGGAAAAGGGAACUAAGACAGCGUGAGACCCCCGCCAUGUCACCCGUGACCCAGGGGCCAGAACUGAAAAUAGAGCGGCUCGGGGCACUCGCCCGCCACCCCAGGGGGAUGUAAAUUGAUGCACGUGCCCUCUUUUGCUCCCUCCAGAUCCCCGCCUUCCCCACCCUGAGCUGUGCCUGGGAAGCUGACCUGUGUGGAGCUUUCCGUCAGUUCACUGAGUGGAGGUGCCGCCAGAGACGGGAGGGCAGACCAGGGACAGCUCCUCCCUGCUGCGUCCGGGGCUGGAGCCGUCCUUCGUCACCGGUCUCGGCUCCUGCCAGGGGCCUCCCCAUGCACCCCCACCCUGCAAACAUCAGCGGUCCACUGGGGCCAGCCCCGCUCUGCGUCUGUCCCCGUUGGUUCCCGUAACCCUGCCCACACCUUUGCAAUGGGCUCUUUGAAGCUCUCCUCCAGCUACUCCGUUCGAAAGGGGUGUUUCCUGCCAGAUCCUGACUGUUAUCCCAUCAGAAAUAAACACGGCAAAAUGUGAAAUUUGACAAAGCCAGGUGAUGGGGACCUGGGGCUCAUGAUACCAUCUUCUGUGACGUCCUGGGUGGUUGAAAUAGUUCCUGAAGAAAUAAGGAGACAGUGGAGAGAGAGCAAGCUCAGCGGCUGGGAGGCCCAGCCCAUCGGGCUCCUGGCUGAGGGCCCUGAGGCCCACGUGGAAUCAUUUUGUGCACUGUUUUGGUUUCGCAUCUGGCCCUUCUUCGCUUUUCCUUCUCUCUCCCCACGUUGGCACUGAGAGUGGGUUCUUCCUUGUUGUCUGUCAGCGUGAAAAUCCGACGCAGAUGAUGCCUGGAUGAGGGGUUUCUUUAUCUGUCAUUCCUUUUACGAGCCAGCAUCCCACGGGACAGCCUUCAGCGUCUGGCUUUCCCACUCGUCCUCGGGCGUUCACGACAGCGCUAUUCCCGAUCGCCCAAAGGUGAAAACAGCAUCCAUGUGCAGCAAUGGGUCAGCGGAUAAACGUAACGCACGCCGGCCACGCAAUGGGGCGGUAUUCGGCCAUAACAAGGAACGAGGUCCCCACGCCCACCACGUGCACCUCAAAGCAGUGCAGAUGGAAAGAAGCCAGACACCAAAGGUCCUAUGUCGUGUGACUCCGUUUACGCGAACAGUCCGGAGCAGACAAACCCGCAGAGACGAGGCUGAGCCGUGGCUGCCGGGGCUGGAGGAGGCGUGAGGACUGACGGGUUUAACGGGCGCCGGGCCCCUUUGGGGUGACGGAAAUGUUCUGGAACGACGUGGAGGUAACAGUCGCACAACGCGGUGAAUGUAACAAAUGUCACUGAAUUGUGCACUUUAAAAUGGUUC